CACCAAUGCAAAUCUGUUCCUGUGGUCCAAACCAAGACUUCAUAAUUAUCCCAGGAAAGCAGACUGUAUUGGUGACUAUCAACGGUCCAUACCACCUGUGUCUGCCUUGUAUAAGCUGUCCACUUUGCUCUUCCAAAUGGACUCCUGGGAUUAAUGACUUGCUUCAAUACAGAUACUGGCCAGCAACCACCAGCUGCCAAAUGCUGUUUAAGUUUGAUCUGUUCACAUCAUUUGAGCAGAUGAAAUUAGCCAGCCCAGCUUUAUCCCAACAAGCAUUUCUCAGAAUGCUUGAACAUCGAUGUCUUUGCACUGGUCGGACGGGUAGUAUUUGUGGUGAUACCUUCCACAGAGUCUUUCGGGAGUUUGCCUUCUGCAAUUUUAAGAAAGAAGAUCUGUGCCUGAUGGAGCCCUUUAAAUGCCCAGCAUGUACACCAGACAUGCUUGCUAUAUCUGCAGACGGUAAUAGAAAACAUUACCGGUUCAAGAAGUCC